UACGUAGGGGGCAAGCGUUGUCCGGAUUUAUUGGGCGUAAAGAGCGUGUAGGCGGUUCGGUAGGUCCGUUGUGAAAACUCGAGGCUCAACCUCGAGACGCCGAUGGAAACCCCCGAACUAGAGUCCGGAAGAGGAGAGUGGAAUUCCCGGUGUAGCGGUGAAAUGCGCAGAUAUCAGGAGGAACACCGGUGGCGAAGGCGGUUCUCUGGGCCUGUACUGACGCUGAGGAGCGAAAGCGUGGGGAGCGAACAGG
rnacentral:rRNA from 1 species